rnacentral:rRNA from 1 species
GAUCCUGGCUCAGGAUGAACGCUAGCGGCAGGCUUAACACAUGCAAGUCGAACGGAGCACCCUUGAAUGAGGUUUCGGCCAAAGGAAAGGAAUGCUUAGUGGCGGACUGGUGAGUAACGCGUGAGGAACCUGCCUUUCAGAGGGGGACAACAGCUGGAAACGGCUGCUAAUACCGCAUGACGCAUUCGGAUGGCAUCAUCUGAAUGCCAAAGAUUUAUCGCUGAAAGACGG